rnacentral:rRNA from 1 species
UUCCGGUUGAUCCCGCCGGAGGCUACUGCUAUUGGGGUUCGAUUAAGCCAUGCAAGUCGAACGAACUCCUUCGGGGGUUCGUGGCGAACGGCUCAGUAACACGUGGAUAACCUACCCUUAGGACCGGUAUAACCCUGGGAAACUGGGGAUAAUCCCGGAUAGAUGAUUCUUUCUGCAAUGAUGUUUCAUUUAAAUGCUCCGGCGCCUAAGGGUGGGUCUGCGGCCGAUUAGGUUGUUGGUAGGGUAAUGGCUUACCAAGCCGGUGAUCGGUACGGGUUGUGAGAGCAAGAGCCCGGAGAUGGAACCUGAGACAAGGUUCCAGGCUCUACGGGGCGCAGCAGGCGCGAAACCUCCGCAAUGCGAGCAAUCGCGACGGGGGGACCCCAAGUGCCACUCUUAACGGGGUGGCUUUUCUUAAGUGUAAAAAGCUUUUGGAAUAAGGGCUGGGCAAGACCGGUGCCAGCCGCCGCGGUAACACCGGCAGCUCUAGUGGUAGCCAUUUUUAUUGGGCCUAAAGCGUUCGUAGCCGGUUUGAUAAGUCUCUGGUGAAAUCCUAUAGCUUAACUGUGGGGCUUGCUGGAGAUACUAUUAGACUCGAGGUCGGGAGAGGUUAGCGGUACUCCCAGGGUAGGGGUGAAAUCCUGUAAUCCUGGGAGGACCACCUGUGGCGAA